rnacentral:lncRNA from 1 species
CCGGCCUCCCAGAGGCAGCUGUGACAUGAACUCCGUGGCCUGAGCACUCGGACGCCACCCCUGACUCCCCGGGUCCAGGGCCCGUCUCUCUCCAGUGUGGUCUCACUGGCCCUCUUCCUGGCCCGUGACAUGCCCUCCUAAGGUCUCGGGUGGACAGAAGAGCUGCAGCCCUGCGGCUGGUCACCGUUCCCUCCCGAGCGUUCCCGGCUUUGCAGCCUCCCUCUCACAGUCCACGGCCUCCACCCGGGGCUGGGCAGCGAUUACGGGUGUCCAAGAGGGUACCGCAUUCCUGCAGCCAAGUGGCGGUCAGUGUGGGCCGCCUGGGCCCAGGGGAGCCAAGAGUCCACCAGGCUGAGGCCAGUAUUAUCUGUCCGGAUCCGGCCCAGGGUGCCUGAGGUGUGGAGCUGCUGGCUCUGCCCUGAGUGAUCCCCACAUGGGAAGCAGAGGAGGGAGCUAAGGCGGCCCUGUGUUGAGCCAGCUGUGCCCUGAGGCGAGGCCUAAGCCCCUGCACUUCUCAGGUAUGAGUCACUUUUAAGCCGCUUUAAACUAUGUUUUGUUUAUGCUAUUCCUCCAAAGGCAGCCUGAUACAAUCAACACUAGGCUAUGGCUUCCUUUCUCUCCUCCCCUGAAAUACUGGCCCAGACAAGGCCUCAUGAUCUCCGCCAGGGGUGUAGCUGCAGGACCCUCACUCUGCUCCCCCACAUCCCUGCUGCCAAGCCUCAUCCAUUCAUCCAUGCAUCCACCCCCCGUCCAUCCUUCAUCCGUUCAUCCACGCAUCCUCCCAUCCAGUCAUCAAGUCUCCAGCAUCCAUUCACUGUCCAUCCAUCAUCGAUCCACAGGGCACCUGCUCUAGGCCCUGCGUGGCCUUGGUGCUGAGGACACGGGAGCCAGUCAGCUGCAGCCCUGGGGAAGGGGCCACACCCACGCCCGGCCGGAUCAGGUUACCGCCCUGGAAAUGAAGGGGAGACUCAGUCUGUGGGGAUGGGACAGACGGACAGCAGGACAGUGGAGCACGCGGCUGGUGUGGGACCCACAGGCCUGGCCUGGCCUCCUGCGAGGGAGGAUGACCAGAAAGAGCACAGGGGUGCCUUCCCCUUUCCCCAGCACGGGAGGGUUAGGGUGACACCCACUCCACAGACAAGGAGGUGGGCAGGGGAAGGGCUGGGCCUGCACCAGCCAGCUUCCGG